UGUGACUUCUUUACAAUGAUCACAAUGUCUCCAACGUACAACGCCCCUGUAGCAAUUAGGAUGAAGUGCCUUGUUCAAGGGUACAACAUAUUAUUCACCUUGUCCGCUCCGGUAUUCAAACCUGCAACCUUUCGGUUAUAGGCACAACACUGUAACCUCAAGGCUGCCUGCCUCUACCUUACCCCUAAAUACAGGGCCCGUUAAUAUUGAGGAUACCUGCCUCUACCUACAGUUCCCUUUUUCAGGUGCGGGCUGAAAAUCUACGUUUUCACAUUGCAUUUUUUUUUUAGGGGGCAGGAGAAUUGACGAUGAGAAAACUCCAAAUAACUUUGAUCGGUUUAAUUAUAAUUUUUUUACACUGCAAAUUGUAACUAUUUUUAAUGCCAUGAGAGGCAGCGGAUCCAGCCAAAUAGGUUCUGGAAUGCACCAGUCCAAACUGAGAGGUGCCGGAUCCUGUUCCCGCAGAAUCCAGCUCAAAUUAAACACUGAUGAUACAGUAAAACGCAUUACCAAAUAUCUGACUUUAAUAACUUGUUAUUCAGUACAUUUUCAGUGGUGGAAGAGACCCUCCAGAGUUGCUGCAGUGUGUGUUCUGCUGGCUGUGAUUCUUGGCCUGUGGGAUUCCUAUGCAACUGCAGAGCGAGACCAGCUACAGAAUAGUCUAAAUACCAGGACUACAGAGCGAGACCAGCUACAGAAUAGUCUAAAUACCAGGACUACAGAGAGAGACCAGCUACAGAAUAGUCUAAAUACCAGGACCACAGAGAGAGACCAGCUACAGAAUAGUCUAAAUACCAGGACCA